GGUUGGAUGGCCGAGUGGUCUAAGGCGCUAGAAUCAGGUGACAUCUUCGUAGUCAGGUGACAAGUAUCUAGUCCGAAAGGGCAGGGGUUCGAAUCCCCUUCCAAUCA